AGCGAACGCUGGCGGCAGGCCUAACACAUGCAAGUCGAACGAACCUUUCGGGGUUAGUGGCGGACGGGUGAGUAACACGUGGGAACGUGCCUUUAGGUUCGGAAUAACUCAGGGAAACUUGUGCUAAUACCGAAUGUGCCCUUCGGGGGAAAGAUUAAUCGCCUUUAGAGCGGCCCGCGUCUGAUUAGCUAGUUGGUUGAGGUAAUGGCUCACCAAGGCGACGAUCAGUAGCUGGCCUGAGAGGAUGAUCAGCCACAUUGGGACUGAGACACGGCCCAAACUCCUACGGGAGGCAGCAGUGGGGAAUCUUGCGCAAUGGGCGAAAGCCUGACGCAGCCAUGCCGCGUGAAUGAUGAAGGUCCUAGGAUUGUAAAAUUCUUUCACCGGGGACGAUAAUGACGGUACCCGGAGAAGAAGCCCCGGCUAACUUCGUG
rnacentral:rRNA from 1 species